rnacentral:lncRNA from 1 species
UUCAAAUUUGCAAUUUCACUCCACAGAUAGUAGAUCCUAGUCAAAUUCGAUCGGUCAAAUUGCUCCUUGAAUUCUUCCUAGACCUUCCUAGCAGUCAAAGCAUAAACUAUGCUAGGAACCAAUUCAACAUAAACAAUGCUACCAAUCCAGGAUAACACGAUCACAUUGCAUUUUCCCCAUAAUUCCUCCAGUUCUCCUCUAAAUUUGCUCUUAGGGCAAGUAC